GAAGGUUUUGAAAGAGGGGAGAGAUUUGAAAUUUAAGAAGUUGGAGGAGAUGAAGAGACUAAUCCUAAGCAAGACUUUAAAAGUUAAGAGUUGAAAAGAUCUGACGAAUGGGAUGCAAUCCAAUAGACAAGAAUGUCAUAUAGAAACCCAUUUUUCCUUUGGACUUUAAAAUCAAGCAAUAUCAAUAAGCAGGCAAGAUGAAGAGCAAGG
rnacentral:lncRNA from 1 species